UUUUUUUGUGGAGGGUUCGAUUCUGGCUCAGGAUGAACGCUGGCGGCGUGCUUAACACAUGCAAGUCGAACGGGAUCGGCUGGAGCUUGCUCCGGCCGUGAGAGUGGC
rnacentral:rRNA from 1 species